rnacentral:rRNA from 1 species
CGCGUAGGCGGCUUUAUAAGUCAGAUGUGAAAUCCCACGGCUCAACUGUGGAAGUGCAUCUGAAACUGUGAGGCUUGAGUAUCGGAGGGGAGUGUGGAAUUCCCGGUGUAGAGGUGAAAUUCGUAGAGAUCGGGAGGAACACCGGUGGCGAAGGCGACACUCUGGACGAAUACUGACGCUGAGGCGCGAAAGCGUGGGGAGCAAACA